CUGCAGCCAUAUCAUCUUAAAUGGCGAUCUCAUCAGAUCUCAGAACUGUGCAGGGUCAGCCCGUUCCAGUCAGUGCUUGAAUGGGAGACCUUCCAGGAAAACUCAGGAAGCCAUGUUGG
ensembl:rRNA 5S_rRNA 5S ribosomal RNA